rnacentral:rRNA from 1 species
AUGGCCUUCGCUGGGCGUGAUGCCACCUACUUCCUCAAGUGCAAGAUGGUCUUCUUCGGCACACCAAGGUUGAUUGCCGACGAGAUGGUCACCCUCUCUAGUGCACACGCCAUUGGAAUGUCCCAUUCCUCCUCCUCCUCCUCCUCCUCCUCCUCAUCCUUCUCCGACUACCUCAACGCAAGCACCUCUGACAUGGGACCCACACUAAUGAGUUCUCUCGUGGAGCAAUGCGGGCCAGACAUAGGAAGUGACAACAUGGUGGUGCGGGAUGUCAAGACCCCUAACAAGGUCGACAACAAGCACUACAAUAAUAUGUUUAGCCAUCAUGUGCUCUUCAUGUUGGAUUCCAUGCUCAUGGCAUUAGAUGAUACAAGUGUGGCGGUGCAUGCCAAUGCCAACAACAAUGGUGUGUGGGGGGAGAAGUUCAAGGCAGCGAUGGUAAGGAUGGGUGCUAUCGAAGUCAAGACCAGUGCCAAUGGAUUUUGCUGUGUACAAGAUAAAAUGUUAUUCAUUUGGGUUAACCAAUUAGAUCAUUUUGAAUUUUCGGAGCAUGCCACCAAAUGGUCAUCUUCCUCCCACACUAUCUUCCUCCUCUCCCAUGACGGCUCCUCCUCCUUUCCGUGGCUUAUGCAGGCCUAA